GGGGAGGCUAGGUGCAAUGGACAUAUUUCAGACUCAUCACUAAGCAGUUUCAUUCUGGCACAUUGUCAGAUCUGCAGAAAGGGGGUGGUGACAGCAGAAGGGGUUACCCAGUGGGGCUGUAGGAAUGCCUCCAGAGAACCGAUAUCUACCCUGUGGAAUGGCCAUGCAAACCAGACUUUUCUCCUUGAAGCCAAGAAAGUUUCCUACACAAACAUUUCUCUGCUUUCCUUCUCAGAAACUGCAUCUUCGAUUUAAACUGACGCUGACAUUUGUACUCGUGAGACGCUGCAGCUCUAAAGCUCCUCUUACAAAGCCUCAUGAAAUGAAUGAAGCACAUGAUAAAGAUGGAAGGGAGCUCCUCAGGACGGAGCCAGCAGUCCUCUGUUACAUAAGUAACCUCUGAAAACACUUUACAUGGAGGUACACUUCAAGUAUGAAGAAAUGCAUUUUCCCACAGACUCUAUUCUACACAGAAAGUAAAGACCAAAAACCUUAAGAAGAAUAUAUCCUUCCUGGGCAUAUAAUCUUGAGCAGAA